rnacentral:lncRNA from 1 species
GCAGCUUAUUGGACGAUGGUGCUCCUAAUUGGGAGGUAAUACGAAACAGAAGUAUAAAUAAAAGCGCCCUCUUCCGGCCUUUUUCAUCAAGCCAAGAUGGCAGAACAGGUACAGUCCACAUGGCCGUCGAACAAAUGUGUCUAUUUGCACGUUUUCUAUAUAUUAUUCGUGUUUUAUUUACAGUUUAAUUACAAUUAAAAAGUAUGAAUUAAUAAAACAUGAAUUUAAACAUUCUAUAACAGAAGUAACGCAUGAAAAUAUGAGGGAAACAAAAAAAGGGGGGCUGUUGGGGCACAAAUUCGGGUCUGUACACAAGUUUGUCCAAUAAAUCUGCAUAGCGUUGACAUUUUCUUCAAUCAAAAGGAAUAGACUAUUAAGAACUUAAUUUUCUGAAACUAAUAUAUCGUAUUCCCGAAACUUGAAAUUUCACAGAACAAUAAGUCUUCCUCUUACAUUUUACAAACUUUUAUACUAGUUGAGUACACCCCUGUAGCCUACUAGGAAAUUAUGCCGUAAACACGAUUUUAAAAUAAUCUGGCACAUAAUACAAAGAAAAAUGCAAAUAUUAUUGCUUCUAUAUAAAACUUGUAUUUACAUCAUGUAAUACAUGUAAUUAUUUGCUACAUGUUGUAUUUGUCUAUGCGUAAUAAAUAAUAAUCCUGGUACAUGUACCUUUGAUCAAUAGCGUGAAUAGGACCUCUAUAAAUUCAUGAAUAGAUUUUAGAUUUGAUGCUUUUAAGAGAUCACAUAUACAGUACAUUAGAUGUUCAUGGUCAAUGAUAUAUAAGAACAAGUGUUGAAACAUUAACUAAUUAUGUUAUUUUGUUUCUUUUUCUUUGGUCAGUCUGCAAUAUGAGGCAACUGCCUACAUGCCUCCCCAUAAUAAAUGGCCCCAAUCUUCCCAAAAUGCAAACAAUAAGGUGACCGUCUUGUUUUCAAAUGAUUACAUUAAAUAAGUUGAUUGGUUUAUUGUCAAUCAGUUAGAUACUUAACUAUCAUUUGGCUAAUCCAAUUAUCUAAUUAGAUAUACAUACAUGUAGGUACCUGUAGUGGAAUCUUUUAUAUUAUAUAAUUGUUAAAAUAAUAUAUAUUUUUCAAGCAAACAAGACAUUAAUUUUCAUUUUUUUAAUCAAAUUUUUAUAGAUCAAUCAUUUGACGUAAGAAAUUAGUAAUCUUUACAUAGCUCUGCCAACUGUGACAUUUUCUUAGUUUAAUCUUAUAUAAAGAAAUUAUUACUUAACCUACAUGUAGGCCUCUUGUUUUUGAAUUCAAAACAGUGAAAGACACAUUUUUAAAUAAAAAGGCGUAAAAAAACAACCAAGGACAAAUGAUGUUUUGCUGAAACAUCUUGAAAAUUUAUUUAAUAUCCCAUUUCUGAUUUAAUGCAUAUGGUUCUAGUUAAAAUUGGCUCACAGUAGUAUAUUAUCUAUAAAAAGAUUGAAAAAUGAAAAACCCAAUAAACAGCAGUAACUAAGGCCCCAGAAAAGGUCUGUUAUCAUGAAUGUGAGAAUUAAGAAUUUGAGACCUUCAAAACUUUAUUUAUUUUAGUUAUCAAACAUCUAACUUGUUUUUUCAAAAUAUGCAGCUGAAUUGAUCAAAACAACAAAAUCUUGAAACGACGUCUAUUUACAAUUGGGAAUUUAAGCGCUGAAAAUUGGUGGAAAAGAGAGCGUAUUGCCCCUUGAGACAGGUGCCUAAAUUUUCAGACCCAAAUAUGAGGGUUGGGAAAUCCCUGCAUUCUAACAUGUACCUAAUAUUUUAACAACAAUUCAUACACAAAUAACAGUGAACUGAUUUAAAUGUAAUUCAAAUUUCUAUUUAACAGACAGAAAGGUCGUUUCAAAAGCAGCCCACAGUGUUUCUGAACAAGAAGCAAGGUGCUGGAAAAAAGAAGGCUCUUAGACAUCAUUUCAGUGUUGGUCUGGGAUUCAAAACACCCAGAGAGG